GGAUGGAUCAUUAGGGUGUUUAACACUUGGUUAUUUCUAACGAUAUGUCUUAUCUUUCAACAUGACAGUUCUGAUAACAUUGCAAAUUGAUAAAGCUCCUUGUAACGGUGGAGGGCUCGGCUCAAAAUGCGAUGAAGGACGCAGCGAGGUGCGAUAAGCAGUUUGAUACGCGCGAUUUGUGAGCGACUAGCUUUCUGAAUGCCAAGGCGCCCCGACCUACGUGGCCGGGCGUGCUUGAGUCAGGGCUUUAUUGAAUCUGGCAGUUCGUCUGUUUGAUGUACUGAUUCAAUAUGAUUCAGUAUUAUACAUUCAAUUAUGGAAAUGGCAUCGUACUUUUCUGUAAUAAACAAUUGUUUGAUUAAGCCUGACUUCAAGCUCGGUGACUCGUCGAGCUUAAGCAUAUCCGUAGGCGAGCGAAAACCAACCAAAUGGGAUCUUGCUAGUAGUGGCGAACGAACGCAAACUGGUUCGGAGGGUGAAUCCUGCGCAAGUAGGAAUUGUUCCCUUGGUUUGUGACUAGAAUUGAUUGCAAAUCAAGUGCGCCUGGAAUGGUGUCUCUAAUAAGGGUGAUAGACCCGUCCUUUUGCAAAUCAAUUCGUACAGCCGCAAACUCAACAGUCGUGUUCUUUGGGAGUAGAGCACAAAGUAGAUGGUGGACUUCACCUAAGGCAGUACAUGCUUUGAGUCCGAUAGUAGACAAGUAGUGUAAACGAACGCCGACAAAUGGCUCGGGAGGGUCACUUAUUGAACUGAAACCGUUGCAAGGGAAGCGCCUCUGCGACAAUUUUCCUGGCAUACGUUUUGAAUGACUGCGGUUGUUCAAGAUAGCUUGGGAAAAACCGAGUGCAACUGGGGUUAGCUGUGAAGCCUGUCUUCGGCGGCGUCACGUCAUAACUCCCAGUUGAAAACCGGUACCGAGAUAGAGGUGUCCCGUCUUGAAACACGGACCAAGGAGUUAAAUCAGGGCGCGAGCAAUGUCGUGGCAAGCGGCAAAGCGUACCUAACGGGUGUUGGACUAUUCUAGUCCGGCCGGUCUUUAUGACUGGGCUCGAGCGUUCUGUUUUAGACCCGAAAGGUGGUGACCUAUGUCCGGAUAAGGUAAAGUCAGGGGAAACCCUGAUGGAGGCCUUAAGCUGUACUGACGUGCAAAUCGUUUGCGCUAUUCGGAUAUAGGGGCGAAAGACCAAUCGAACCGCCUAGUAGCUGGUUCCUUC
rnacentral:misc_RNA from 1 species